rnacentral:rRNA from 1 species
GUGCGGGGGUCUGACCCCCUGCGUGCCGCAGUUAAACACAAUAAGUAUCCCACCUGGGGAGUACGAUCGCAAGGUUGAAAUUCAAAGGAAUUGACGGGGGCCCGCACAAGCGGUGGAUUAUGUGGUUUAAUUCGAUGCAACGCGAAGAACCUUACCAGGGCUUGACAUCCUGCUAACGAGGUAGAGAUACGUCAGGUGCCCUUCGGGGAAAGCAGAGACAGGUGGUGCAUGGUUGUCGUCAGCUCGUGUCGUGAGAUGUUGGGUUAAGUCCCGCAACGAGCGCAACCCUUAUUGUUAGUUGCUACGCAAGAGCACUCUAGCGAGACUGCCGUUGACAAAACGGAGGAAGGUGGGGACGACGUCAAAUCAUCAUGCCCCUUAUGUCCUGGGCUACACACGUAAUACAAUGGCGGUCAACAGAGGGAUGCAAAACCGUGAGGUGGAGCGAACCCCUAAAAGCCGUC